UUGAUCCAGAGAUUUCCGAAUGGGGGAACCCACUAUCUUUAGUCGGAUAGUAUCCUUACGUGAAUACAUAGCGUAAGGAAGGCAGACCCAGGGAACUGAAACAUCUAAGUACCUGGAGGAAGAGAAAGAAAAAUCGAUUUCCUGAGUAGCGGCGAGCGAAACGGAAAGAGCCCAAACCAAGAAGCUUGCUUCUUGGGGUUGUAGGACACUCUAUACGGAGUUACAAAGGAAUGUGGUAAACGAAGUGGUCUGGAAAGGCCCGCCAAAGAAGGUAACAGCCCUGUAAUUGAAAGCAUAUUCCCUCCAGAGUGGAUCCUGAGUACGGCGGAACACGUGAAAUUCCGUCGGAAUCCGGGAGGACCAUCUCCCAAGGCUAAAUACUCCCUAGUGACCGAUAGUGAACCAGUACCGUGAGGGAAAGGUGAAAAGCACCCCGGAAGGGGAGUGAAACAGUUCCUGAAACCGUGUGCCUACAAGUAGUUAGAGCCCGUUCAUGGGUGAUAGCGUGCCUUUUGUAGAAUGAACCGGCGAGUUACGAUUUGUUGCAAGGUUAAGCGGAAAAAGCGGAGCCGUAGCGAAAGCGAGUCUGAAUAGGGCGCAUGAGUAACAGGUCGUAGACCCGAAACCAGGUGAUCUACCCAUGUCCAGGAUGAAGGUGAGGUAAUACUCACUGGAGGUCCGAACCCACGCACGUUGAAAAGUGCGGGGAUGAGGUGUGGGUAGCGGAGAAAUUCCAAUCGAACCUGGAGAUAGCUGGUUCUCUCCGAAAUAGCUUUAGGGCUAGCCUCGAGGUAAAGAGUCGUGGAGGUAGAGCACUGUUUGGACUAGGGGCCCUUCUCGGGUUACCGAAUUCAGAUAAACUCCGAAUGCCAUGUACUUAUACUCGGGAGUCAGACUGCGAGUGAUAAGAUCCGUAGUCGAAAGGGAAACAGCCCAGACCACCAGUUAAGGUCCCAAAAUAUAUGUUAAGUGGAAAAGGAUGUGGGGUUGCAUAGACAACCAGGAUGUUGGCUUAGAAGCAGCCACCAUUGAAAGAGUGCGUAAUAGCUCACUGGUCGAGUGACCCCGCGCCGAAAAUGUACCGGGGCUAAACAUAUUACCGAAACUGUGGAUGAACCUCUU
rnacentral:rRNA from 1 species